rnacentral:rRNA from 1 species
UGAACCUGCCAGAUGGAUCAUUUCGAUGAAAACCUUUUUCUCUUGAGGUGUGGCUCGCACCUGUCUAACUAAACUUGAGCUACCUUUUUUCAACACGGUUGCAUCGGUUGGCCUGUCAAACAGUGCGGCGGCGUGAAUUUUCACGUCUGCUUUGGCUGGGCGACGGACCGACACUUAAUCAACACUUUUGAUGAUCUAGGAUUUGAAUGAUAAAAGUUCAUUUUUACAAUGAAAUCGACUGGUAAUGCGGUCGUCUAAUUUUUAAAAACAACUUUUGGCAACGGAUCUCUUGGUUCUCCCAUCGAUGAAGAACGCAGCGAAUUGCGAUAAGUAAUGUGAAUUGCAGAAGUGAAUCAUCGAAUCUUUGAACGCACCUUGCGCUCCCGGCAGAUCUAAUCUGGGGAGCAUGCCUGUUUGAGGGCCGCGAAUUGUUUCGAACGACAACUUUUUUUUUGAAGAGUUGGCGGAUCGGUAUUGAGGGUUUUGCCAUUCACCGUGGCUCCCUCGAAAUGCAUUAGCGCAUCCAUUUGAUAGGCAAGACGGACGAAAGCUCGAUUUUCGCUCUCUCUUCCCUGCCGGGUUUUGAUAAUAUCAGGACUUCGGAGAGGUUGAGAUGGGUAAGAGCUGGACGCAACGGCUUGCUGUUUGGAGUGCUUCUGAAACCCGCCCAUAUCGAGUUUUGCCUCGGAAGGGAUUUUAAUAAUUCAUCGGCCUCAGAUUGGUAGGACUACCCGCUGAACUUAAGCAUAUCAAUAAGCGGAGGAAAAGAAACUAACAAGGAUUCCCCUAGUAACGGCGAGUGAAGAGGGAAGAGCCCAAGAUUGAAAGCUGGCGUCUUCGGCGUCCGCAUUGUAAUCUCAAGAAGUGUUUUCCGCUUCGGACCAUGCCUAAGUCCCUUGGAAAAGGGCAUCAUAGAGGGUGAUAAUCCCGUACAUGGCAUGGAGCGCCCGAAGCUUUGUGAUACGCUUUCUAAGAGUCGAGUUGUUUGGGAAUGCAGCUCAAAAUGGGUGGUAAAUGCCAUCUAAGGCUAAAUAUUGGGGAGAGACCGAUAGCGAACAAGUACAGUGAUGGAAAGAUGAAAAGAACUUUGAAAAGAGAGUUAAACAGUACGUGAAAUUGCCAAAAGGGAAGGGUAGGAGGUCAGAGAUGCGUUCUGGGAUUCAGCCUUGCUUUUGCUUGGUGUUUUUCCCAAAUUGCAGGCCAACGUCGGUUUUGGGCGCUGGAGAAGGGUGGAAGGAACGUGGCACCCCUCGGGGUGUGUUAUAGCCUUCUACUGGAUACAGUGACCGAGACCGAGGACAGCAGCGUACUCGCAAGAGCGGGCCUUCGGGCACCUUUACGCUUAGGGCGUUGGCAUAAUGGCCCUCUACCACCCGUCUUGA